GGGGCAUUGAUUUUAAAGCAGUUUCUUCUUAGAGUGAAGAUAACUCUUUGUAAACAUCCUAAAGAAGUAUAAUAGCUCUCUGUGUUCCUUUUGUAAGUAAAAAGGAUGCAUCGUUACACUAUUGACAUUU